AGUACACUGAACAAAGGAGGGAAAGAGUUUUUAUUUUUAAUGCAGUUUGUCCCUACUACUGUGUCCUUUCUCCGUUGGCUGAAGUUGGACCACACAAUCUAAACUGAACCCGAUUGACUAACUUGAAAGACAGCUUUGGCGGGAAGAGCCGUUACAGCUGGAGGGGUAAAUUACAGAGUGAGUAGCAGACGUGGGCUCUGUAGAUAAAGACUGGCGGGAGAGUUAUUUACUGGAACCAGGAGCAGGGAGGCACAAAGGAUAAGGAAGUUGGACCUUGAAAGUAGAGAACAAAGAAACUAAACAAACUAAACCUUUGAAGAGGAACUUCUCUUGGAUCUGACAAAGGUUUCUUUGAGGAUGUUUUGCAGCGAGCAGGGACUUAAGAAUAUGAUUUUUUCCACUGUUGACUGCUCUCUGGUCUUUCGCACACUGCCACCUGCAGAGAAGAUAGAUGAGGGAAACACAGGUGGAGGGAUAAGGGCAGUCUCUUGUCUGGGAUGGCUUAAGACUAAUCUAGAAGAACAUGAUGUCACCACUUCAACUGAAAUCAAGAGAAGACAUCAAUCAGAAGGGCCUGUUGGCACUGUGGAGCAAUGAUGUCUAAAGACCUUGGAGGGGAUGAUUCAGCUACCCCAGGCAACUGCCUGACAUGUGGCACAGAGCAUGGAUGCCGGGGUGGGAGUACAUGUGCACCCUCAUUGCUUUUGGGUACUGUCAACUGAAGGUGGCACCAUGAUUGGAACACAGAUGGAUGAGAGCUGAUGCAUGGGCCCCCACACAUAGUUUAAGCCCAAGGAUGGGUGGUGGAUUUCUGAUAGCCUAGAGUUAUGAACUCAUCUUGUGUCUGACGUGACUGUCACCAAAAGAAGUGUGACAACACCACUUUGGCAGCCCAAUCUUUUGCAACCCCAUGAAAGAAAUACUGCAGAAGCCAGUAGAAGCAAUCCACUUGCCAGGUUGCCCUCCUGGAACCAGGGUCCACCCAUGAGAGCCAACGACAACCACAUCAGCCUUUGUGCUCCUUGGGGCAUCUGGUCAAUCUCCUGCAUGGGAUAGAAGCUCCGGGAAUACCCCAAAGGGGAGAAGCAGAGAAGAGGGCCUAUGCCCUUCCUUGUCCAGGCUUGGAGUGCCUCGCUUGGAUGAUACUGCUAGCCCCAACUGGUCCCAGACAUCAGAGAGGAAGUGUGGUCCUCCUGAGGUUUGGGGCCCAGGACAGGGGCUCUGCUUGCUCUGAUCUAAAAGCAGUACUGUUUCUAGGUUUACUACUCACUACUAACUACCUUAUUGAUUUUGUGCUUCUUGAUUUAAAAAUUCCAGAGAAAAUGGUUGUCUUAGCUAAUCAGUUUUGCUCUGAGCCAACGGUAUUCAAAGCAUGGCCUGUGGACCCCUAGUGGGUCUCCAAGACCCUCUCAGGGGUCUAUACAGUUAAAACUAUUUUUUUCAUGAUAAUAUUAAGAUGUCAUUUGCCUUUUUCACUAUGUUGACACUUGCAAUGAUGGUACAAAAGCUAUGGUGAAUAAAACUGCUGGCACCUUGGCACAAAUCAAAGCAAGGCCACCAACCAUUCUAAUAGUUGUAUUUUUUUUUUUUAUCAUCGGGCACUUUUUUUUCUUUUACUUAUUAUUAUUAUUAUACUUUAAGUUUUAGGGUACAUGUGCAUAAUGUGCAGGUUAGUUACAUAUGUAUACAUGUGCCAUGCUGGUGUGCUGCACCCAUUAACUUGUCAUUUAGCAUUAGGUAUAUCACCUAAUGCUAUCCCUCCCCUCUCCCCCCACCC
rnacentral:lncRNA from 10 species